CUGUAGUUGUUGCUGUAGCAGGUAUCAGUCUGUAGUUGUUGCUGUAGCAGGUUUCAGUCUGUAGUUGAACUGUAGUUGUUGCUGUAGCAGGUAUCAGUCUGUAGUUGUUGCUGUAGCAGGUUUCAGUCUGUAGUUGAACUGUAGUUGUUGCUGUAGCAGGUAUCAGUCUGUAGUUGUUGCUGUAGCAGGUCUCAGUCUGUAGUUGUUGCUGUAGCAGGUAACAGUCUGUAGUUGAUGCUGUAGCAGGUAUCAGUCUGUAGUUAUGUUGUUCCUUUGACUGAUAGUCUUUAGUUUAACUGUAGUUGUUGCUGAAAGCAGAUAUCAGUCUGUAGUUGUUGCUGUAGCAGGUAUCAGUCUGUAGUUGUUGCUGAAAGCAGGUUUCAGUCUGUAGUUGAACUGUAGUUGUUUCUGUAGCAGGUAUCAGUCUGUAGUUGUUGCUGUAACUGGUAUCAGUCUGUAGUUGUUGCUGUAUCAGGUAACAGUCUGUAGUUGAACUGUAGUUGUUGCCAUAGAAGGUAUCAGUCUGUAGUUGUUGCUGUAGCAGGUAUCAGUGUGUAGUUGUUGCUGUAUCAGGUAUCAGUCUGUAGUUGUUGCUGUAGCAGGUAUCAGUGUGUAGUUGUUGAUGUAUCAGGUAUCAGUCUGUAGUUGUUGCUGUAACAGGUAUCAGUUUGUAGUUGUUGCUGUAGCAGGUAUCAGUCUGUAGUUGAACUGUAGUUGUUGCUGUAGCAGGUAUCAGUCUGGAGUUGUUGCUGUAGAAGGUAUCAGUUGUUGUACUCGGGUUGAAGAUGUG
ensembl:lncRNA